AGACAAUCUUUUAGAGAACUAGCAAUAAACUGCCUUGAGACCAAACAAGAGACUGCUGAGCCUUUCUGUGGAAGCAUGGUUGGAGGAGAAGUUUUUCCACCACACGAAGCCACCCCGCAACCUAGGGUGGUCUUUGACAACCAUCAGAUGGGUACCACCAUCCCAGGUUCAGACAGCCUGGGAUGGAGACAGCACACCUGUCUGCAGAUAAACUGCCGCCCGUUCUCUGGAAUCUGAUGUGAGAUGCAAGACCUGUUACUGAGAUGAUUCAGCUGCGAUCAAAUUCUGAGCUGGUGAAAAAAUAAAUUAAAUCCCAAGGCAAAUUCUUACAUUUUGAAUCUUGUAGAUAUAGAAACAGCAGCACAGACAUAGACAGGCGUAGACAGCAACAUUUCUGACAUUAAAAAAUUGCAUUGCAACAGUGAAAGGGAAAUGGGAAGGAUGAAAAUAAACUAAGGGAGUUGGACUGUAAUCUCCCAUUUUCAUUUUAAGUCAUUAAAGUAUUAUUAUUUUGAAUCUUUUUUAAGAAUUGAUACAAAUGAAUGAAAUUUCAGGGAAAUUGGUUUUCCAUCUGUUUUUAAAAUAGUGGAGGAAAUCAACAGUUGGUGGUAAGUAAUAACACAGAGUCCUUACUAAUCUUCAAACUUGCAUUUAAAAAUGUUGCAUGUAUGAAACAAACUCUUUAGGAGGAACUGAUUUUCACUGAGUAAAUUCCUGUUCAUGACAGCUGAAGCCAUAAUUUGGGUCAGAUGUCUCAGCAAUUCAAAGCUUGUAAUAGAUGAAGAAUUGUUGUGAUUCACUUUGAAACACACGAUGGGGUCAAUUUCAAUUGUCAAAAUUCUUGUAAAAUUUAAGCAGGGUAAGUUCCUGCUGACCAGAGAUACUAAUGAAAAAUAGCUAGCAGCAAAAGAAUGGAAAAAAUGAGUGGCAAAAUGCAAACCAGGGAAAAUAGCAAAAGCUUGAACAGGAAGCCCAGUCCUUGGGAAACAUUUUGACACCCAGAGUAUGAACCUAUCUUCAGUGGGAUCUGCUGUCCCCAUAUGUCAGGCCAUGGUUGCUUUCAGAGCAGCAAGGGUUUUACAUUGUCAUGCACCAGGAACGUGUCGUCGCUCCUUGAAGCAGCACUGUUCCCACGCUGAAAAGAGAGACAGUCUGGAGCCUGCAAAUGAGAGACAGCCUUUGCUGGAACGUGUAAGGACAGCUGAGAGUUGCUUGAUUUCAUAAGUGUCUGGGAUUUUCCAAGGCACCUUGGGUGCUUGGGUACCCAUUUCUCAAUGGCAUUCGUUGGAAUGAUGACACGCGGCCUUUCCACAUUCCUUACAACACCUCUAAUAGUGACGGCUGCAAAGAGGCCACUUAUUUUUGGGGGUAACCUAUUUGCUUCUCACAUGGAAAGGAAUAGCAGCUUAAAAUAGUCUCAUCAAGGAAGGACAAAGCUACAUGGGCCUAGCACAGCCCAGCUGCCAGGGAGCUCCAGAUCCAUGAAUACCCAGUGUCCAAUGGUUAGUGUGAGUGUCUGUGGCAUUAUCCCACAUCUGUCCCUGCACCUCAGGUCUCAGCAUCCCCUUGGCAAGAGCAUCCAGGGAGAUGCUCACAGGAAGGGAGUCAGCAGGGUUUCCACGGGAGCCAGCAUGUUGUAGGUACACACACUUCAUGAGUCACUGCUCCAGGCCACAGGAAUACAAAGCAGAAGUACACCAAAGCCUCCUCCCACACAUGUAAACCUGCUGGAUGCAGGUCAGACUUUCUUAGACUUCCCUAAGAAUCCAGAAGAAAAUACUUCUAAAAGCACUGUAAUUUCAGAAACAAAUGAAAGCUGCAAAGUCGUCUGGUGCUUAACAUCUACUAGAACUGGGAAAUUCCCAACCUCACUCAGCAUCCUACCAUACACACUCAUUAGAAAAAUUAAGCUUCUCUGUGGUGGCAAAGUUUGCUUUGACUUGUAACAGUGAUUGCUAGAUGCCAGUCUCUCAACAAAUGACAAUUUCUUUGAUGCCUUUCAACUGAGCAAAGAGCAUGGAAAAAUACAAAAGGAAACCCUAUUCAGUCCAAACUGACAGUGCUAUGGUGAGGGAAAAGACUUUAAAAACCCAAAGAAAACUUGAGUUGAUUUUCCCAAAAUAAAUCUCAUUAUUGCUAGCCGCUGUUGCAUAAAGCAAAGAAAUUCUGCCCUGAAACUGCAGUUAAAUUUAAAACACAUUUUAAAUUUAAAAUAAAACCAACUUAUAUAACUUUUUUUUGCUACAAUGGUAGUCUUGGUUUUCAUCCAGCACUUAUCCUGUGAACCUUUCUGCUGCAACAUUCCUUCACUGCCAAACCUGUUUUAAUUUCUUCCACAAAGAAAAAUGCAAGAAUAUGGUGAUGUUUCAAUCAAUUGUACAGCAGACAGAAGUGGAAGUUCAGUGACACCAUGGCUGAAGGGUGACACGCUUCUCAGUAAGUGGAAAUCUGAGAAAGAUCUCUUCUGAGCUACAGACCCAUUUUUGAAAAAUAUGCAUGCAUUCUGGAAGAGGGAAAGAAAAAUGGAAACAUGUCAGGACAUGGCUUGAAGCAUUUGAGAAAUGUCUGCCUUGUGUUACCAAUGCAUAUUGUGUUUUAGAAUCUUCUAAAGGCAAAUGCCAACUCGGUGGGUGGUGGGACAGCAGAAAGCUCCUCUUAGCAGAGCAGAGAAGGAGAGAAGGAGAGAAAGAGAGAAGGAGAGAAGGAGAGAAGGAGAGAAGGAGAGAAGGAGAGGUGACUGCUCAGUGCUUCUGUCAGCUGGACAAGUGCAUGGAGGCACUUCUAUCUUCAAAACCAGGGUGCAGAAGCAUCAGGUGUGACCCAGUACUUCUUCAUGCACCGAUUCACAAAAAGCCCCCAACCCUUUUAAUUAUAUGCCCAUUAUGGCACACUAUUGAUGUUGAAGCUGCUGUACACGUGUUGUUAGCAUGCUAUGGUAUUUGUAAUUGAAUAUGACCUUCUGUGACAUUGAAAAUUUGCCUGUCCAUUCCAAAAGACGUCCAUAUGUUUUAAGAACGACAAGUGUGCUUCAAUAAACCUUUUAAUUAAGAACAUAUGCUCAAGAAACAAGAAGGCUUUUACUGAUUUCAUAAAUAGCAAGACAAUGUCAGCCGUGUGCCAAGCAAACUAUUGCGCAGAUAUCUGAAGUCUGUGGUACGUGUGUAAUGGAGAAUAUGUGCCAGAGGGACCAUUAGUAGUCGCCUUGUCUCAGGGUUGGGACCAGUGAGACAACUGUCUUUUCCUGCAGCUCUCUGUGGGGUUGCCAUGGACUCCCUGCACUCCAGCAGCAGCUCUGGAGGACAACAGGAACAAAGGGUAAUUUUUACAUAAAUGUGAUCAUGUUCUGCAUCUCUCCUUCAUGCCCAUUUCCUUACACCGUCUCUCUAUAGUUAAUCUCCUGACUGCUUUUUAAACACCCUCCAGUUCUUUUGGUUUUCAUCCUGUAACAUGUAUCUUGUAUUCCAGCCUUUUAGUCACAUUUGCCAUCUCCUGGGAAUGACUCAUGAGAUCAACACAGAUUUCUCUGCAGGCCAUGCUCAGGCAGGGGUUACCAGAACAGAGAAACCACACAGCUACAUGGCAUAAAAAUUUUAUCCAACUGCCAGCAGCACUGCCAGAUUAAAUGGGUUUUUUUCCCACAAUCUCUUUUUCAGUUUUUGAAUUUAAUUUCUUUUUGCUCUUGCCAUUGUGGGGAGUGCCUGAAAAUGGAAAGGCAUUUUUCCAGUUAAAUCUCCUGGCAAAUUUCUGGUACCAUUGUUAUGUGUCCUAACGUAACACUCCUUUGUCAGAUGAGUUCCACUGGAGAUUCUUUGAGGAUUAUGAAUAAAUGAUAUUAUCCUUACUUUUUUUUUUACAGUCCUAAUGCAGUUCACUGUUUUUGUCACAAUAUGGGGCAUAUCUCAGGAGUGGCUGUUUUCCCACUACUCUUGAUAUAUUUUAGCUUUCUGUGAUUGCUGGGGUGAAGCCAGUGGGAAGGCAUGUCUCCAUGACAAGACCCCUCAAGGCUGUUAGGAUAGAGUUUGACCCUCUAUCAGCCCUUCCACAAGCUCUUUGGCAUAUGUUAAUAACUUUCAGAGAAAAGUGGGGCUUUCAGCCCAGGCUGUGACAGAACAAUAUAUGUACAUCAGCAGGACAUUUUUACAUAUUUUACUUUCAACUCCUAACAAAAGAGAAAAAUUCUUUCCUAUUAUUUAGGGAGAAAAAAAAAGGUGUUAAAUUGGAAAAAAAUACAAUAUCAGUAAAAGCCUUUUCCCCCCAUUUAAAAAAAUCCUGUUAUGACUGUGCUCUUUUGUAGUUGCCUCUAACAUUUCAGCAGCAUAAAUUUUCUGUUCAAAUAAUUAUAUUAUACAACAGAUGAAGAAAAUUAAAUUGCCUAGGUAAAAUAAAAUAAAACAUAAUGAAAAAGGG